rnacentral:rRNA from 1 species
UACGAAGGACCCAAGCGUUGUUCGGAUUCACUGGGCGUAAAGGGUGCGUAGGUGGCUGGGUAAGUUUGAUGUGAAAUCUCCGAGCUCAACUCGGAAAUGGCAUUGAAUACUAUCCUGCUUGAGGGUCGGAGGGGAGACUGGAAUUCUCGGUGUAGCAGUGAAAUGCAUAGAUAUCGAGAGGAACACCAGUGGCGAAGGCGAGUCUCUGGACGACUCCUGACACUGAGGCACGAAAGCUAGGGGAGCAAACAGG